ACGGAAGGCAGCAGUGAGGAAUAUUGGUCAAUGGGCGGAAGCCUGAACCAGCCAAGUCGCGUGAAGGGAGAAGGUAUUAUGUAUUGUAAACUCCUUUAGCUGUGGAGCAAUAAUCGCUAUGUAUAGCGGGAUGAGAGUACACAGAGAAUAAGGAUCGGCUAACUCCGUGCCAGCAGCCGCGGUAAUACGGAGGAUCCGAGCGUUAUCCGGAUUUAUUGGGUUUAAAGGGUGCGCAGGCGGCGUUUUAAGUCAGUGGUAAAAUCGUGGGGCUCAACCCCAUCCUGCCAUUGAUAUUGGAGCGCUUGAUUGCGGUCGAGGUUUGCGGAAUUCGUCGUGUAGCGGUGAAAUGCAUAGAUAUGACGAAGAACACCGAUUGCGUAGGCAGCAGACCAGUCCGUAAAUGACGCUCAUGCACGAAAGUGCGGGGAUCGAACAGGAUUAGAUACCCUGGUA
rnacentral:rRNA from 1 species